rnacentral:misc_RNA from 1 species
CAUGAGGCGGCGGCAGCAGGCGGUGUCGUAGGGGUCGCGGCCGCCGUGCCCGAAGCCGUGCCGCCGGCUGUGCGUGUGCUCGCGCUCGCGCUCGUGUUCGUGGCUGUGCUCGUGCUCGUGCUCGUGGCUAUGCUCGUGCUCGUGCUCGUGCUCGUGGCUGUGCUCGUGCUCGUGGUGGUCCGCCUGUAUCUCGUAGGAUGCCGAGGAGCUGUUGCUGUGCAGCUGCAGCGGUUGCGCCGGGUUGGGCCCGGAGAAGGUGCGCAGGCUGCAGGCCUCGUUGGCCAGGUUGAACUGCGAGCGGCAGAACACCUGCCCCGCGGCGCGGCUGCCUGUUGCAAUGAAGACGAGCAGGAGGAGAACAAGAGAAGGCAUGUCCAUGGUGAUCGAGUUUUCUUCAGAGCUGCAGAAGAUGCUGGUUUCUUGGUGUUGUGGCCUGUGGGUU